CUCAGGUAUCGCCUGGGUGAUGCUCUGCCAUCCGGAUCUUUAGGUUCCCAGGGUCAGAGGCCGGUCAGGAAGACCAGGCCUCUGCAGCGGUUGAGCCCCCAUGGUGGUUCCCGGGCCCCGGCAUCAGAAGAGCCCUUCCGCAGGUCCCAAUGGUGGUGAAUAGAGUGCCGGCGGGGAGGCUGCAAGUGGAGGAGGUCGUGGACGGCGUCGCGGCG